CGGCGAUAUUCCUUCAGUCAAUAUGUAAAUGUACACCACUUUAAUAACUAUCUAUAAUAAUUCAAUGUAAAUAUUAUUACCUAUUUAGAAUUAUUAAAAAUAUCGUCUGUAUGGUAUCUACCCACAGACAUAUUAUAUGUCAGACGUCUGUAUAUCUACCACGAUAUAUAUAUCUUUAAUCGUAGUAUCUACCACAGAUAUAUAUAUAUAUAGCCGACUGUGUAUUUGGCUAUGCAACCAAAUAUGAAUCCUGCCGCCAUAUGCAGUUUGGGCAAUGUUUACAAAUGUAUGUUAUCAAUUAUCGUGAUAACACUAAUAAAUAAAAUAGACCAAAUGCCACCAAACUUCAAAUUUUAAUCUUUAAUGUUUUGUUUAUCCAUUCAGCCGUCGUGUCGUGUUUUUUUUUAGAAAACUUGAGUUUUAUAUAAUAUUACAUAUAGAAUAUUUUUAUACUUAUAUACUUUUUUGAUUCAUUCACAUUAUGGUGUGCUCCUGUAGUGUGCAUCUGUGUACAAAUCGAUCAAACCCAGGAUCUCGAAAACAUCAUUUUUUCUCAUUCUCUCUGAAAAAUAUUGAAAGAACACAGCAAUGGGUUAAUGCAGUUGGCCGCAAGGGGUUAAUUCCAACCAAACAUAGUAAAAUAUGUAAAGAUCAUUUCCAUAAAAAUGAUUUUAAAAAAAAUAUUGGUGGUAGUUAUUUGUUAAAACUUAAUGUAACAGCCAUCCCUUCAAUUUUCCCUAAUUAUUCUGAGAUUAUAUACAAAGCUAAAAUGCAGUGUCUUGAAGUCAAAUCAUUGAAAGUAGUUGGAUGCAGUUCUGAUAUUCCUCACACUAAAAAUAAUGAACCAGAAUAUGUUCAGCUUAAUGAUAGUAAUUGUUUAAUUGGAAAUGCAUCAUCGACUUCAGGCUAUGAAACAAUUUUGACUGAAGUAUCGACCUUAAAUAUUGAAAACUUAUUGACACAAAAUUCAUCAUUACCUAAACUAAUAUUAAUCACACCAUCUAAAACAUCAUGUGCCCGUCUAUUAUUUAAUUCAAGUCCAGCAAAACACCCAAGUUUUUCUCCAUUUAAAGCUAAAUUAAAGAAUAAAAUAAAAUUAUUGCAACAAUAAGUUUGAAAACAAAAUAAAUCUAUUAAAAGAUUAAAAAAAAAAAAAAAUUGAUUAAUAAAGAGGCAGAAGAAUUACUAAUGGAAAAAUUUGAUGGUACAACUUUAGAUAUCUUCUAAAAUGUUGUAAAAAAUUAACAGGACGUAGAUUCAGUAUGAAAAAUUAAAGAAUUUUCUUUAACUCUGCAUUAUUACUCGCCUAAAGCUUAUGAGUAUGCCAGAUCAAUCCUAAUAUUACCAAGUAGUAAGUUUAUAAUGAACUGGAUUUCAUCAGUCAAUGUAGAACCUGGCAUUUUUUAAUGAAGUCAUGCAAUCUCUACAAACUUUAAGUGCAGAAGUUAAACACUGCAAUUUAUGUUUAGAUGCUAUGUCAUCGAGGAAACAAAUUAUAUGGAGUGAUAAAUUCAAUACAUUUUUUGGUUAUUGUGAUUUUGGUGUUGAAUUACAAUUGGAGGGAACAGAUACUCCAGCAACAGAGGCUUUAUUUUUUAUACUUGUCAGUCUAAAUGGUAAGUGGAAAUUACCUAUAACUUAUGUUCUUCAAAAUAAAACCACUGCAGUUGCUCAAGCAAAACUAGUUAAAUCUAUACUUAUGCAUACUCACAAAGCUGGUUUAACUGUUUGGGGUAUCACAUGUGAUGGUGCUUACACAAACAUAGCCAUGAUGAAAAUAUUAGGUUGCAUCAUUGGAAAAAGUUUCCAAUGGCAAUCGUAAUACAUUUGAUAACGAUGCUAUGUGUAGUAUUUUUGAUUUCAAAUGGAAGAAGAAUGUAGAAUUUAGUGAUGACCAUCUAUCAAGUGGGGCUGAUCAAGAUAUUUUAAAUAGAAUGAAAUUAAUUAACAAUAUAAGCCCUUCUUUACAGAGUGCUAAGGAAAAUAUUUUAUACUAAAUAUUAGGAUAUAUUAUUUUAAAAAUAGUGAAAAAAAUUGAUUGUAAUUCUUGUAAAACAAAUCUUUUUAAAGAAACAUCAGACCAUAAUUAUCAUAAUUCAUCACAACAUAUGGUAAAUUUGUUAAUUUAAGACAACACAGUGGCUUAAUUUUAGGAUCUGAGAGUUCAUUUAAAAUAAUAAUAGAGACUGAAAAAGUUCUUUUAAAUUUAACAAACCUUAAUUAAAAAUAAAAAAAUAUUGUAUAAAUGUAGUAAUAAAUUAUCCCUUGAUCAUAAUAUAUUCAAUAAGUUAGAUUGUAACGGUAGUAUUUUGGAACAAACAUAUAAAAUGAUUUUGAUAACUCUUUUUUAAAAGAUAUUUAAGCAUAAGACUUAAAUCUUUUAGUAAAAACACUGUGUAUUAAUAAAUACAACU